rnacentral:rRNA from 1 species
CAAAAUACCCUUUCGUUGAUAGAAAUUGUCAAAGCGGUAAAAACCAAUUCGAUUAUACCGGUGGAAAGUCUGUUGGCCAACCAUGUGAUUCGGGAACUACAUAAGUCGUCAUAAUUCUGACAUGGAAGAUCUAGCCGACAGCUUCCCGGUUGUCGGCGGAAUGCUGGUUGUAUUGAUAAACAUAUAUUGGGCUCCCUCAUUUGAGUUUGUUAUCUGAGAGGGCGUCUCCCACUGUAAUGCCCUGCUUGGUUCAUUGCAUCAGGGUAAUGCUACACUUUCGUUACCUUCAAAAAGUUCAGUCGCUUUAUAUGUAAUAUCAUUUUUUGUCAGCAUGCUUUUCGCCUGGAUGCCUUUUGAGUGCUUCGAUAAGAUUACUUCGCUCUUCCUCUGUCAUCCGGGAUAUGAGUAAUGCAAGUUCAGCUGUGGUCUGAUCAUCACAAAAAAAGUAGUUCAACGGCACGUUUAACUCUGCCGCCAUCCGUCGAAGCGUAUCAAUAUCGGGGACAUGGCGCCCUUUCUCAUAAUGAUUCAUACGACUGCUAGCCGAAGCGGGAUCAAACCCAACAAGGAGGCCCAAUGAGCGCUGUGAUAAACCCGCCCUGCAUCUCGCUUCCUUAAGUCUUUCUGGUAUCGGAUUUUUUUCAGACACUGAUUCAUCUUCAUUGGCCUCGAAUGCUUAGAUUGUCUAAGUAUCUGCCAUUGUUGUAUACUUAGCAAUCCUAAGUUAACUGCCUUGUUUUAGUCAUAUGAAUAGUCGAGUAUCCAACCCUGAGUCGUACAUAUUUUCUGCAAUAAUCUAUAUUGGUAAAGAUAACUUCACCAGUAACGAUGUGGCUCAAAUUCUUAUCGAGCGAUUUUCACUUCCGAAAAGUUAUUUUAAGGCAAAAGCUUUUGCUUAUAACCAAAUUCAGUGUUUAGUUAGAAAAGGAUUAUUGAGUAAAGUCAGAAAAUCAGGCGCGUAUCAAUAUGUAUACUCAGUCACAUCUGAAUUCAAUGUCGUAAAGGAAAGCGUAGAGUUAAUUGAGGUACCCCAAAAAAAUUCCUGUCAACUUGUUUUAAGUGCUACCAGCCAUGAAUACAGAAAUGUAAAUAUUCAAAUAAGAACUCUUAUUGAAAAAUACAGCAGCGAGUUGGAAAAAGUAUCAGGAGCAGGUGAUGCUGCCAACUUACUGAUUUAGUGUAUGAUGGUGUUUUUGAGGUGCUCCAGUGGCUUCUGUUUCUAUCAGCUGUCCCUCCUGUUCAGCUACUGACGGGGUGGUGCGUAACGGCAAAAGCACUGCCGGACAUCAGCGCUAUCUCUGCUCUCACUGCCGUAAAACAUGGCAACUGCAGUUCACUUACACCGCUUCUCAACCCGGUACGCACCAGAAAAUCAUUGAUAUGGCCAUGAAUGGCGUUGGAUGCCGGGCAACCGCCCGCAUUAUGGGCGUUGGCCUCAACACGAUUUUACGCCACUUAAAAAACUCAGGCCGCAGUCGGUAACCUCGCGCAUACAGCCGGGCAGUGACGUCAUCGUCUGCGCGGAAAUGGACGAACAGUGGGGAUACGUCGGGGCUAAAUCGCGCCAGCGCUGGCUGUUUUACGCGUAUGACAGGCUCCGGAAGACGGUUGUUGCGCACGUAUUCGGUGAACGCACUAUGGCGACGCUGGGGCGUCUUAUGAGCCUGCUGUCACCCUUUGACGUGGUGAUAUGGAUGACGGAUGGCUGGCCGCUGUAUGAAUCCCGCCUGAAGGGAAAGCUGCACGCAAUCAGCAAGCGAUAUACGCAGCGAAUUGAGCGGCAUAACCUGAAUCUGAGGCAG